CACUUGCGCGCGGAGUCGUCGCAGCCGCCGGAAUUCUUUUCCACGCGCCGCGGAGCUCCCCGCCGCGGAACGGAAUCCGGGGCAGGGCGGCGUGCGGGCUCCGCGCCGAUCGCGCUCUCCCGCCCGAGUGCUAGGCUCCCGGGACGAGCAGCCCGCCCGCCCCCGGCCCUCCCCGCUCCUGUCCAGCAGGCAGCCCGCCGCCGCUGCCCCGGCCGCUGCGGAGCUGGCGAGAAGGCUUCCGACUUGGAGCCUCCGGCUGCCGAGCAUGCCCAGUCCGCGGCGGAGCCGGGUCGGCUUCCCGCGCGACGCCGGUCCGUUCCUCCGGGUGUUCCCGGCGGCCGGGGGGCGGGGACCGCGGACGCUCGACCGGGGACCCAGCGGAGUCCCGCAGGACAGCGAGUGGGGGGCGGAAGUUAGAAGAGGAGUUCUCGUUCCUGAGGCGCCGGUACCGCUCCCACUGCUUCCCUGUUGUGACCCAUUCCCGGCGACGGGAGGAUGGAGGUGGCGGAAGACGUCAGGACCGCCGCCGCUCCCCUCCAUGCAUUUCCCCUGCCGCCGGUCAGGUUCCAUGGUGAUGCUGUUAUAGUCACUUGGUGUCCCUGAAAUCUCUGGACCCUCGACCUCACCACCCGAGGAUGCAUUACCACACCUAGACCCACGGAAUCAGAAACGCUAUUGGUGGGGUCCUCCCUGAAAUCUGGUUAACAAGCCCUCAGGGUGAACCUAAAUGCCGCUUUCCCUAAGCCCUUGAGACCCGUUUUCAUGUGAGACGCUGAAAACUUGGGAAAAAACGGAUUCAAAAUGCAGCCUGCUCCUGGCCAGGCGCUUGGGGUCUCUCGUCCUCUCCUGCAUCCCUGGCCUCUUCACCCCAGGACACUAUGCUACUGCACUUACACCGUGUUUUUACAUGACAACAGACAUUCAGUUCAGUUUGGAGUGUCAACCAAGAGCAGGAGAGUGCCUGAGCGGCUUAGUAGCCCCACUGGGUAUUAAACAUCAGUUUAAAAGAUAAAAGGAAGGCUUGCUGGUUUUUGACAUGAGUGCUGGACAGCCACUGGCUACUUCGCACUUGCUGUAACCGAGGUCAAAACAGCAUUUGCACAGAGCUGGGCUCUACUACCCCAGUAGAGCUACAAGAGAGAACUGGCUUCCUGGGUCAUUACUGUGAGUAAGGGGCACCAAUGCCCUCCAGAUAUUUGUCUCCUUCUAAAGCUUUGAAACAAUUCCCUUCAGGAAAAAAGAAAAGUUUUACUCCGGAAAGCAUCUCACUAAAGGCCAUGCUACUCAACACUUGGCAUUUAUGAGAGUGUCACAUGCCACACCUUUAAAAGGGACCGAGGGCUGUGGAGAUGACUCAGCAGGUUGAUGUACUUGCUACCAUACCUCACAGUCUGAGUUCCAUCCCCAUGUAGUACGAGAGACCCAACUCCUCCAAGCCGUCCUCUGACCUUUAUACUCCCUCCAUGACACACCUGCCCGCACAUAUGCACACAAAAUAAAACAAAUAAAUGUGAUUUACUUGAGGAUUUACAGCCAGCCUCACCCUCCCCUCCCGGACAGCCACAGCCUGUAUUCUGAAUCACCCUCCUACCCUCUGCAAUGUGACACUCAAUGCCACCAUCCUGGUACUAUUUCUGUCUUGAAGAUAACGUUGAGGACCAGAGCUGGAACCAAAAGAUGAAAAGACCUGGUCAGUAAAGGAGACUGGGGUGGGGGGGAGGGGUCAAGGAAGACAGAGACAACUCUGGUGCACAGUGGAGGCUUACCAAGAGGAGGAACAGUGAGAAGCUACUUGACAGGAGACAACUGAGGGGCCAUAGCAUCACCCCCCUUGUCCUCACCAUAUGGCUCCAAGAAUCACAGUGGACACCUAACACCUCAAGCAGCCAUCUCUAAAUGGAUUGGUUUCCCCAUGGCCCCUGCAGUAUUGCCAGAGUAACCUGCUCUUCUGUGCUGUGUGCUGCAUCGAGCCUUCUUUGCAUCUCAACACUUCUGCUUUUG
rnacentral:lncRNA from 1 species